rnacentral:rRNA from 1 species
GCUUGUCUCAAAGAUUAAGCCAUGCAUGUCUAAGUAUAAGCACUUAUACCGUGAAACUGCGAAUGGCUCAUUAUAUCAGUUAUAGUUUAUUUGAUAGUUCCUACUACUUGGAUAACCGUAGUAAUUCUAGAGCUAAUACAUGCGACAACCCUCAUUAGAGGCGUAUUUAUUAGAUACAACCAACCCUUCGGGUCACUGGUGAAUCAUAAUAACUUAUCGAACCGCAUGCGCAAGCGGCGGUGGUUCAUUCAAGUUUCUGCCCUAUCAGCUUUCGAUGGUAGGGUAUUGGCCUACCAUGGCUUUCACGGGUAACGGAGAAUUAGGGUUCGAUUCCGGAGAGGGAGCCUGAGAGAUGGCUACCACAUCCAAGGAAGGCAGCAGG